UACGUAGGGUGCAAGCGUUGUCCGGAAUUAUUGGGCGUAAAGAGCUCGUAGGCGGUCUGUCACGUCGGCUGUGAAAACCCGAGGCUCAACCUCGGGCCUGCAGUCGAUACGGGCAAACUAGAGUACUGCAGGGGAGACUGGAAUUCCUGGUGUAGAGGUGAAAUUCGUAGAUAUCAGGAGGAACACCGGUGGCGAAGGCGGCUUUCUGGACACUUACUGACGCUGAGACGCGAAAGCGUGGGGAGCAAACAGG
rnacentral:rRNA from 1 species